GACGAACGCUGGCGGCGUGCUUAACACAUGCAAGUCGAACGGAAAGGCCCUGCUUUUGUGGGGCGCUCGAGUGGCGAACGGGUGAGUAACACGUGAGUAACCUGCCCUUGACUUUGGGAUAACUUCAGGAAACUGGGGCUAAUACCGGAUAGGAGCUCCUGCUGCAUGGUGGGGGUUGGAAAGUUUCGGCGGUUGGGGAUGGACUCGCGGCUUAUCAGCUUGUUGGUGGGGUAGUGGCUCACCAAGGCUUUGACGGGUAGCCGGCCUGAGAGGGUGACCGGCCACAUUGGGACUGAGAUACGGCCCAGACUCCUACGGGAGGCAGCAGUGGGGAAUAUUGCACAAUGGGCGGAAGCCUGAUGCAGCAACGCCGCGUGCGGGAUGACGGCCUUCGGGUUGUAAACCGCUUUCGCCUGUGACGAAGCGUGAGUGACGGUAAUGGGUAAAGAAGCACCGGCUAACUACGUG
rnacentral:rRNA from 1 species